CGGAGCUUGGUCCGGUUCACCACCCCUCCGUUAGCUGGAGGGUCAUUGAUGCUACAGUACACGGCUGCAGACAAACAGGAAAAGGCAGCACGGUGUUUCUCUGCGGGCUCGGUUCACAUCCAGCGAAAACAGUCACGAGGCCUCCACUGCACCUGCCGUGACUGAAGCUACUGAAAACCACAUCCAUUAGGCUGUCAACAGAUUCACCAUCGGCGUCAACAGGAGUCCACCAAAUGUUAGAGGAGCUCCCCUGCUGUACGAUCAUUACGUCCUGCAGAGGGAAUCAGCCCGUGCAGCUAUGAAACCAUUCUGUGGGCCCGACUUUGAGGCGCCUUUAACUGCUGCUCUCACAGACUCACGGCAGCAUGACCCACUUUUAUGCCGCAUCUAUCUGUGUUUGCUCAGGUUAAGGAGUGUUGGUCAGCCCCACGGGCCUGACAGCCAGUUUAAUCUGAAUGCCCUGUUCAAUAAACUUCCCAUAA